rnacentral:siRNA from 1 species
CAGAGGUGAAAUUCUUGGAU